CAGUCGCCGCGGUAAUACAGAGGGUGCAAGCGUUAAUCGGAAUUACUGGGCGUAAAGCGCGCGUAGGUGGUUCGCCAAGUUGGAUGUGAAAUCCCCGGGCUCAACCUGGGAACUGCAUCCAAAACUGGCGAGCUAGAGUAUGGUAGAGGGUGGUGGAAUUUCCUGUGUAGCGGUGAAAUGCGUAGAUAUAGGAAGGAACAUCAGUGGCGAAGGCGGCCAUCUGGGACAACACUGACGCUGAGGCACGAAAGCGUGGGGAGCAAACAGGAUUAGAUACCCGGGUAGUCCCUGUCUCUUAUAC
rnacentral:rRNA from 1 species